GACGAACGCUGGGGGCGUGCUUAACACAUGCAAGUCGAACGGUAAGGCCCUUCGGGGUACACGAGUGGCGAACGGGUGAGUAACACGUGGUUGAUCUGCCCUGCACUUCGGGAUAAGCCUGGGAAACUGGGUCUAAUACCGGAUAGGACCCUGGGAUGCAUGUCCUGGGGUGGAAAGCUUUUGCGGUGUGGGAUGGGCCCGCGGCCUAUCAGCUUGUUGGUGGGGUGGUGGCCUACCAAGGCGACGACGAGUAGCCGGCCUGCGAGGGGGACCGGCCACACUGGGACUGAGAUACGGCACAGACUCCUACGGGAGGCAGCAGUGGGGAAUAUUGCACAAUGGGCGCAAGCCUGAUGCAGCGACGCCGCGUGAGGGAUGACGGCCUUCGGGUUGUAAACCUCUUUCAGCACCGACGAAGCGCAAGUGACGGUAGGUGCAGAAGAAGGACCGGCCAACUACGUGCCAGCAGCCGCCGUAA
rnacentral:rRNA from 1 species